UCGGGAGGCUGAGGCAGGAGAAUCGCUUGAACAUGGGAGGCGGAGGAUGUGGUGAGCCGAGAUCAUGCCAUUGCACUCCAGCCUGGGCAACAAGAGUAAAUCUCCAUCUCACCAAAAAAAAAAAAAAAAACCUUGUAAUAUAUGUAUGGAUACAUGGAAUCACUGUCAGGAAAAAAAAACAAGUGAAAUGGCAUUAUAUUAUGCAUAGAAAACCAGAAAUCCGCAGAUCUUCGCAUAGAGUAAGUUGAUUUCUGACACCCUUUUCCCCCCACCUCACCAUUAUAAGAGUCUCUGGGAGUUCUCCUUCCCUGCAGACCUCUGCCUCCCUGAUAGACAAAUAAUAAGCAUCAAUUAAUAAAUAUAUCUCAGUUAUCUGGCUUCCCUAUUCCCUAUUUAUCUAUAGCUACACAUUCAAGCAUAUAUUGUUCUACUGCAGUGGGCAUACUAGUCAAAGAAAGAUCCAUACUUUACUCCUUCCAAAAUGAACACCAUGGACACUGUUGAUUGAGUCCUUAAACACUUUCACUAUUUCCACCCCUAUUUAUUCUCUGUCAGUUUCUAAUAUCAGGUCUCCAUUGCCAAAAGAAAAUAGGGUCCAGUAUGACAUCAGAUAAUUUAUGCCAAAACCAAUAUAAAUUUAAGUUCUUGAUAAACCUUUGCUUUCAUUUAGCAUUAGAAACUUCAAUCUGGAAAGAUAAGGUGAACAUUACUUACUUGUCCCAAGCUACCAAAGCCAGCCUCUCUAUAAGGAAUAGAUUCCGCUGAGGAGGACCGACUGUAUAAGGUGAAACAAAAAGAAAAAAAAGGCAAAAAACCUAGUUUUACUUUUUAUUGUUGUUGUUUUUUUGUUUUGGUUUUUUUCAGACAGAGUCUCACUCUGUUGCCCAGGCUAGAGCACAAUGGCACAAGCUUAGCUCACUGCAGCCUCCGCAUCCUGGGUUCAAGUGAUUCUCAUGCCUCAGCCUCCCAAGUAGCUAGGACUACAGGCGUGCACCACCAUGCCCAGCUAAGUUUUGUAUUUUUAGUAGAGACAGGGUUUCACCAUGUUGGCCACACUGGUCUCGAACUCCUGACCUCAAAUGAUCCACUCGCCUCAGCCUCCCAAAGUGCUGGGAUUACAGGCAUAAGCUACUGUACCCAGCCUCAGAAAACCUAGCUUUAUAUGUUGUUAGCACACAGAACACUCGUUUUUUUUGGGGGAAGGGGCACAUGUCACUAAUAGAAAGUCUCCGAAGCUGGAUUGAUGGGAGGAAAACACCUUUCCCUUCUAGUUUUGAGAGACUUCCUCUUGGCUCCCAAGAGGAGGGAUUCCCUGACUUUGACACACAUGGCCACCUUGGCACAAAAGCCUUGUGGUAUGAAAAAACAAAUUCGUUUUUAUGUCCUCUUCUCCUUUUCCAUCUUUCAGCAUAAACUUAACUCCCUUAAGCCGAGACAUCUGUUAGGACCUGACCCCCAGUCAUUGAUUACCAGUUUGUCUGGCAAUCUGGACUUUCCAGUGAUGCCACUGAGAUGGCACCUGUCAAAAGAGCAGUGGUUCCAUUUCUAGAUUGUGGAUCUUCAGAUAAAUUCUGCCAUUUUCAUUUCAUUCCCUGAAAGUCAGGGUUGGCUUGUGAAAAGUUGUUAAACAAUAUGCUAAAUGUGAAAUGUCAACCCUCACUCUCAACUUUCCCUGUUCGGAGCAUGAGAUGAAGACUUCAUUGGGUUUUAUAGUGGCUUUCUGAUUUUUGGUAAUCCAUUGAAGAAGGGAGUUUGAGAGUUGUUGUAUACUGUUAAUGAUUGUCUGCCCAUGUCCUGCCUGAAUGGACAGUAUCUUUAAUAAAGCUGGAUACAGUUUGGCUUAGGGAAAAAAAAAAACCCUAGCUUUAAACUUCUAC
rnacentral:lncRNA from 1 species